AAUAAGAAUAGCAACAAAUUUAUUGUAAUAACAAAAUAGUAACAAAUUUAUUGUCUAAAAAAAAAAACUAUAAUCAUGCACUGAAAAACAACCUUUCGUCAACAAAAGAAUGGCACAAAUUUCCAUUGAUAAAGUAUAAGAUAACAGAUAGUCAGUAUCUAACUUGUUUUAAGUUUUUUUUAAAGAGUUGUUAUCAGAUUCAAAGAUUGAAGAAGAUAAUUUUUCUUCACAUUUUAUUGAUGAACAGAAUAAAACCAAGCAAAGUUCACAUUGUCAAAGAGUUUCAAGUUUUAAUAUGAGUAUUUUUGGUUUUUA